AGCAGCCGCGGUAAUUCCAGCUCCAAUAGCGUAUAUUAAAGUUGCUGCAGUUAAAAAGCUCGUAGUUGAAUUUCGGGACCAUCAUGUUGGUCGUGCCUCGGUACGUACUGGCAUUGUUGGUUCUCCCUUCUGAAGAACCUCGAUGUCAUUAAUUUGGUGUCUUGGGGAAUCAGGACUGUUACUUUGAAAAAUUAGAGUGUUUAAAGCAGGCUCGCGCUUGAAUACAUUAGCAUGGAAUAAUGAAAUAGGACGUUUGAUUCUAUUUUGUUGGUUUCUAGGAUCGACGUAAUGAUUAAUAGGGAUAGUUGGGGC
rnacentral:rRNA from 1 species